rnacentral:lncRNA from 9 species
AUGAUCUCCUGCCAUUUCAGCAGAUGGAGGAAUGGGGCCGGAGGUGAAAAUGGGCAGGAGGACUCGGGAGGCUCUCUGGUGGCAGCAGAGCCGGCGUGCUCGUGUUGGCCAUUUCUCAGCUGGGGAAUCCGCCACGGAGAGGUUCCCUUUAGCAAGAGAGGCAGAGGCUCCCUUUCUCAGGUCUUUCAGGGUGCUGUCUGCCUUCCUUCGAGACGUUUCCCCAGGAGGAUGGGCCAAGAGGAGCUCCGUCCGUGCCUCAUCCCGCCCCCGCCCCCAGCCCCAGCCCUCGACUCCCAGCCCCUGUCCAGUCAGGUGAGGCGCCCAGAGUACCUCGUGAGCAGCACCACCGCCUUGCUGACAGUGACUUGUGUGUCCCCCAGAACUCACGACGACGAUGUUGUGGAGGCCGGUGGGAGUGAGAAGACUGAGGCAAAGCCCCGGGCUGGGGGACAUGAGGACGAGGCGGCCCCAGUACCUGAGGUGGAGGUGGAGGAGGAGGCGGGCCAGCCCCGUGAAAAUGGCCAGGAGGAGUCCUUAGCCAUCGCCUGGGCUGAGCCGGAAGACGAGCCUGGCCCCAAGGUGGACGGGGCGGACGAUGAAAUCUCUUGGAGCUUGGAGAGUGUGUGUGAGAGCGACCUCGCUGACAGCAACCUCGCAGAAAGUGAUCGAGACUCGGUGGCGGAGCGCACCGACUGCCGCCAGGAUGAGGAGGCUGCAGGAACUCACGACGACGAUGUUGUGGAGGCCGGUGGGAGUGAGAAGACUGAGGCAAAGCCCCGGGCUGGGGGACAUGAGGACGAGGCGGCCCCAGUACCUGAGGUGGAGGUGGAGGAGGAGGCGGGCCAGCCCCGUGAAAAUGGCCAGGAGGAGUCCUUAGCCAUCGCCUGGGCUGAGCCGGAAGACGAGCCUGGCCCCAAGGUGGACGGGGCGGACGAUGAAAUCUGUGAGUAUUCUGGAGCCCGGCUCUGCUGAGGAGAAGUCCAGGUGUUGAGGAAAUGGGGGGGGGGCCCGAGGGAGGCGGGGUGGGGGGGCUCUCCUGCUCCUUUGGUUGCAGAGACACCCUGAUUCUGGGUUCCUCCUGGGAAUGAGGGUGAAGGAUGGGGUGAAAGAGACGGACUUCCCAAGAAGGGCCACCCCAGGUUCUAGGGUCCCUGGACGAAAGGAGGCUCUUUGUAUGGCGUGGGUAGGUGUCGGGGGACACGCGGGGGGGGGGAGGGUGGUGCGUGUGAGGGCCUGCUGGUGUGAUUGGCAAUCAGUGUGAGUGGGUGUGUGCUGUGGGGAGCCGUUUGUGGCUUAGCACCACACAGCUGUCCAGCUUCUAAUUGAGGAGUCUCACGAUGACCGCAGGCUAACCGUCCAUUCCCUCGUUCUGCCCGCACCGGCUGGGAGCAAGGGUUUGGGGGAAAGGCAUUGCUUCCUCUGUUGGUCUUUCUUUUCCUUUUCGCUUCCCUCUCUGCCUUGUGUGGACUUUGAUACCGUUGUUUCAAACACGUGCCAGGGACUCGAGCCCCUUCAGGCUGUGAGUGUCCCGAGGAGUGUUGUGAACGCUGUGCUCCACCCGCACCUCCUGCCCACUCUGGGCAGCCACCCUUCCAGCCUCUGCUCAGGAGUGGUGUGUCAGACACUUGAUGCGCAUGACAUCAGAGAGUCUUUGUCCUUCUGUGCCUGACUUGCUUCGCUUGAAAUGCUGUCCUCCAGCGAGUUCCUGUCGAGGCUCAGUGGUCAUGAACCCGACUGGUAUCUCUGAGGACGCGGGUUCGACCCUUGGCCUUGCUCAGUGGGGGAAGAAUCCAGCGUUGCGGUGAGCUGCCUGCGGCAGAGGUCCCAGACGCGGCUGGUAUCCAGCUUUGCUGCAGCUGGGGUGUAGGCCGGUGGCUACAGCUCUGAUUUGCCGCCUCGCCUGGGAAUUUCCGUAUGCCGCGGGGGCCGCCCUCAAACCCCGAGACGAAUCGAUCAGUAAUGUCCUCCAGUUCUCUGUGCACUGCUGCAGUGGGUAGGGUUUCUGUGGGCUGUAUCCAUCCCGUUGUCUUUCUCAGUCUGUGUGCCCGUGGGCACUGGGGCUCUGUUUCUGUUGGGCUCUCGUGUGUGUGGCGCUGCCGGGAUCCUGGGAUGGCGGGUCUCUUUACCCGACACCGAUGGUUCUUCCUUUAGAUGUCCACGCAGCAGUGGGACUGCGGGGUCCCGUGCUAGGUCCGUGGGCAGCUUUCCUGAGGACCUGCCAUAGUGUUUCCCGUCCUGGCUGGGCCAGCUGACCUUCCCGCCCACAGCGUACAGAAGUCCCAGGUAGUCACAUCUUCCCAGACGACCUGUUCACGCUUGAAAACACUCCGCGUCCUACGAGGAGGGAGGUGAUAGCUCGUUGUGCCUUUGCUUUGCCUUGCCGUUGUGGUGGGUGACUUUGGGAAACGUUCCGUGUGUGUGCUGCUGUCUGUUGUCUUCUUGGACGGAGGCGGUCUCCCAGGCUUCC